UAACACAUAGUGAAGACUCAUUAUCUUUAUCAAUGAUGCGUCAGUUGGAGGUAAAAAUUAGGUCCUUUUCAAUAUCCAGUGGUGACUGUGCUCCUAGAAAGAUCAGUCGAGGAUACAGUCUGAAAAGUUUAUAGCUUAGGUAGGAUUAAGUGCAGUGCCUCUCUAGUACACACCUGGAUGUGACCAUUGUGUCCACAUGUUUUUCAAACCUGGCAGGAACAAUAACCCCAUUCAGAAAUGACUUCUAAAAAGGCUAUUUUUGCUGUGCUUGGAGGCUUGCGCUUGUAGCCCUAGCUACUCAGGAGGCUGAGGAGGGAGGAUUGUUUGAGCCCAGGAAUUCUGAGCCGUAGUGAGCUAUGCGGAUUGGAUUCCUGAGCUAAAUUCGGCAUCAAUAUGGUGACCUCCUGGGCACAGGGGAUCACCAGGUUGCCUGAGAGGGGGUGAACCAGCCCAGGUUGGAAAUGGCGCUGGUCGAAACUCCCAUGGUGAUCAGUAGUGAGAUCAUGCCUGUGAGUAGCCAUUAUACUUCACCCUGGGCAACAUAGCAAGAAUCAAUCUCUCUCUCUCUCUUUUUUUUAAAGAGCCAACCUUGGGAAGAAAUGCCUUUUUUUUUUCUUUUUAGAGGACAUUUCUUCCUAAGGUUGGCUUGUUUUAAGGAUAGCCAAACCUACAGGUUGUUCUAAUUGAUAUACUCAUCUCACCAACACUAACGUUACUAUUGUUUUUAUUACAUUUCAAAGAGGUCAUCAAAUCCAUAAAAGUUCAGAACUUGGCAAGAAUGGCCAGCCAGUAAAUUCUGGACUUUCUCUUUGAACCCCCAAGUCUUAUAAUGCAAGAAUGUAACCUCUUAAUUGCUCUAUUUGUACUACAUUGUUAUCUUUGGACUUUGCUGGAUACCCUUGACCUCUCUGGUAUUUCCUGUUAUGGUGAGUCUGUCCUAACAACCUUGUUAUAGACAUGUUUUUGCACAUUAACAACACUUCAUGGAAGAAGCCCUUUGACAUGAGACUUGUUCCUAAGUAUUCCACUGGCUUUCCAAGUAUAGGAUUACCCUUUGAUUACUUUAUCUGGCUACCAGGACAGAGAAAUUCUUGGGAGCCAACUAGCCAUCGGGUCAACUGUUUUUCCAGGUUUAGUCCCCUGUACUUUCAGGUCUUCAGCCUCAAUUUGACUUCCUGGCUUGUUCCGUGAGGAUUUUGGAGUUACGUCAGGUGAGGAAUCAAUCCAUCCAGUCUGAAAUGUUGCUGGGAGGAGGGCUGUCUUUCUGUAACAGGGGAAUGUUUUAUUUAUUUGAACUACAGGGUAAGUUAUAGACUAUAAUGCAUUGUACAAUUGUUUGAUUUUAAAGAAAACUCAUUACAGCUUUACUGUUCCAAAACCGAACAUCUUAUGUCUGCAUUCCUAUUUAUUAUUAUCUACUCUGGGCCUUGCAGAUAUUCUGUUUCCUGGCUCCUCUAACAAGUUAAUUAUUGGUAUUAAUCCUCUAACAAAUUAGUUAUUAAUGUACAUUGUACAGAUAAGUGUGAAUUGGAGAGAAAAUAAUUUUAACAAGAUCAGAAUGCCUUCCAGUUCAAUUUGAAUUCGAGGGCUUAAUUCAUGGCAUUUUAUAGUUCAAAGAAAACUUUGAAUUGUUUAAGAUAUACAAACUCACAUAUAUUACAGGAAGAGAAGUAUGGAUAAAUUUCCCAAUAGUUGCCUAGCAGAAGUAUAUACUUAGUAUAUGACUUACUAAGAGAGUGAUCACAAGUGACUUAGGGAGCCCUUUGUAGGUUUCCCCUAUUUACCUUUAGCCUUUUACCACAUCACCAAUGAUGUCUUAUUUUCAUACUGCCUAUAGAAUUAAGUUAGUCUGUCCAAGAAGUCACUUUGUUUUACCCUGGUCCCAGUGCAUUCCCAAAUAUCAGGGAUUAUAUUCCCUUAUUUUUACCCGGGCAUUGGAUGCCUCAUGUUCCCUUAUAUCAAACCUUAAAGGUAGCUUUUAGGCAGAAUCUGGUGGUGCCCUUUUGUCCUGAGGGCAGGACAAUAGAAGAAAAACUAAUUUGGCAUUAGACUUUUUCAUGGUGGACAACCUGCUGCUUAUUUGGAAGACCUUCUUCAUCUUCAGAAUAUUGAUCCAAGUCCUUUGGGGCCGCUGCUACUGUCAGAGUUGUUUUGAGUUUGGCAGUACCUCUCCAAAGCCUCAAGGUAAGGGAUGUGUGGUUUGAGAAGUGGAAUACAAGUCCAUAAUCUAUAGAAUUCUAGAGCUUAAUAGAUGAUUACUUCAUUACCUUGAUUAUACCCAUCAAUUUUUAGGUGUGAACGUUGAGAUCUGGGGUUGGGUGUAGGGUGGCUUGUGUGGGCUUCCCCAGGCUAGAUUGAAAACUCAAACAAACUGCAUGUGCCCCUAUUACUUUUGUUUUUGGAGUUUAAGAAGUUUUAGAGUCUUGGCUUCUCAUUUAUUAUACAACAAAAGGGAAAUAAAAAGUAGGAGUGUGGGAUAGUGUAUAGCUGGUAAACAUCUCCUGUAAUACAAGUGUUGAUGUUACUGGGAAUUUUAUUUGAAAGUUUUUGGGGAGGGGAGAUAGCUUAGUGUAGGGCCCUGGGGGUUUGGGACAGGAGGGAAAGAGUGGAAGGGAUGGAGGAUCUAUCUGGAAUCUGUUUCAAAGAAGGAAAAACUGCAUAGUGCUUUGAAGAAAUUGAGCAUCAGACCAAGAAGAAAUGUGAUCUCAGCAACCAUCUUCAUAUCAUCCCCAAGCCUGUCCCCCUAUCUUGCUGACAAGUCAUAGUCCUACUUUUACCCCCUUUUGCUGGUUUCAUGUAUUUUGAGGGUGAGCAAUUGUCCAUGCUCUGGAUGAGUUCAAACACUGUGUGAGGGACCACUUGGUUUAAGACGUGGGAACUCUGUGGAAGGGAUGGUUUCUUGUGAUAUGGGGCUGUGGUGUCUGUGUGAUGGGAAGCAUCAGAGAAGGUGUUUGGAGCAACAGGGAGGGAAGGGUGCAUAUCAUCUAAGAAUCAGGGGACAUGGUUUUGUAACCUGUCACGUGCCCUGAAAGUCAGGAAUGGCUGCAGUUCUAUUACCAAGCCCUGACAAGCAGCCAUUUUGGUUAUUAGCAGUGACUUUGAAAAAUUUCUCCUUUGCAACUUUACUAUUUCACUUUCAUCCUGCUCAGUAUGUUGAAAAUGAAGUUUAUGAACUAUCUUUAUAUAAAAGUCCCAACUUGUAAUGCCUCCAUUAUUAUAUGCAGGCUUGAAUUGUUUAAGAUAUACAAACUCACAUAUAUUACAGGAAGAGAAGUAUGGAUAAAUUUCCCAAUAGUUGCCUAGCAGAAGUAUAUACUUAGUAUAUGACUUACUAAGAGAGUGAUCACAAGUGACUUAGGGAGGCCUUUGUAGGUUUCCCCUAUUUACCUUUAGCCUUUUACCACAUCACCAAUGACGUUAGGAGAUCUUGGAUGGGACUCCAAAAUAAAUGAUUUAAGAAAUUCCAUACCUUACAUUAGGACUAGAGCUUGUAGUAAAGGAUGUUGUGAUAUGGUUUUGACCCAGAAGGAUAGUUUUGGGUAUCAACCUCAAGAAUGUCUGCAAAAGGUUUUCAAUGAAGACAACAAAGAAUACCUGUGCUUUCAUCGGGAGAAGGAAUGAGCCUGAUAAUAGUAGUGCCUUUUGCCUGUGGUACAUGUAGCCAAAAGAGCUCUGUAAUAUCAACAAACAUUGAGAAAGGUAAUCUUUGGUCACUGCCAGCUGGAUUGGCCAGUGCACCUUGUAUUCAGUACUCUAUAUUGAAGUAUCUGUCCUUUGACUGUAUGCGGUGCUUAUUGUACUUAGUUUUUAGGGCCCUGAAAGCUUUCUUUGCACUUGCUGGUUCAAAUCCCAACAUCAACUACAUGUUAAAUGCAGUCAGGAAAAGAAUGAUUUGGCUUAUUUUAAACUUUAAGAGUAACAUACUGACAGAGCUUAUGAAUAUAUAUACAAUAAAAUUUAUAUAAUAAUAUAAAUAUAUAACUACCUUACACAUCUUAAAAUUUAGAUCCAGCACACAAAAUAGCAUUUUAAAGCGAAAUACUUUGGAUUUUAUGCAUAAGGGAACUACAAACUGCACACUUUCCACAAGGGAGGGAAUAAAUACUUUUUUCUGUGUCCUUGGAGUAUGGGUGGGAUUAGUGGAUAUGUUUCUCUGGUUCGCCAUUUCAGUGAUGCGAAGGAGCCUCAUGUUGCAGCACAGAAGAUUUUUCAUCGUUGGAAGUUAAGGUUAGUUCACCUUCAUUGAUUCCUUCCUACACUGGACUAAAGCAUUUAAUCUAGCAACACUUAGAUCUCUACAUAGCUUGUCAUACUCUCUAUCCAUAGAAAGGGACUUUCUAGAACCUGUCAGUGUAUUGUGAAAUAUCUCCUACAUCAACUGAUAAUAAGAAAUCAGAAUUGCUUAAUUACGGCAUUAAUAAAGUAUCACCUAGAUUGAAUUAAGCAGAAAAUUUUAGAUGGGAGUUUACCAUCACAAGCAAUAAACGCACAACAGUCCCUGAAUCCUAAAAAGGUGGAGUUCUUGGUGGUAUUAGUGCGUAUCUUCAAAUUAUUUGCUCUCUGGAAAGAUGCUGAUAAAAUUUUGUCCACUACCAUAGUAUCCCUGCCGGAUGGGAACCAUAUCUUUACAAUAGAGUCCCCACCCAUUGGCAAUGUGACAGCUCUAAGGACAGUCAUCUUACAAGUGGACAUGAAGCUCUUAGUUUUUCUUUUUUCUUUUUCUUUUUUUUUUUUUUUUGGUCAACUGGAGUUCUUCUGCUAUGGUUCCAAACCAUUUACCUGGUAGACUGGGUUAUAUAUUCCCAGUUAACCACUACUGGGUUAAGUGACCUAAUGAUAUUAGUAGCCACUUAACUAUUUUCAAGCAUUCUGCCUAGGACAUCAUUUCAUAAAAUUAAGGUUUAACAGACGGAAUCCCAACGUUAGUAGUAUAACUAAGUUCUCUUAGCAACUUUUUAUGAAUGCCUUAGUAGUUCUUUGGCUUCUUGAAGAGCAGCUAAUGCCAUAACCCUUUUUAAAUCGUCCAUCUGCGGCCGGGCACAGUGACUCAAUGCCUGUAAUCCCAGCACUUUGGGAUGCCAAGGUGGGCGGAUCACAAGGUCAGCAGUUCAAGACCAGCCUGGCCAGCAUAGUGAAACCCCGUCUCUACUAAAAACA